UGCAAGUUUGGUGAUAUGAAACGAAAAUUUAUUCAGGCUCAUAACCUGAAGGUCGCAGGUUCAAAUCCUGCCCUCGCAA
rnacentral:tRNA from 1 species